GACGAACGCUGGCGGCGUGCUUAACACAUGCAAGUCGAACGGAAAGGCCCUGCUUUUGUGGGGUGCUCGAGUGGCGAACGGGUGAGUAACACGUGAGUAACCUGCCCUUGACUUUGGGAUAACUUCAGGAAACUCGGGCUAAUACCGGAUAGGAGCUCCUGCUGCAUGGUGGGGGUUGGAAAGUUUCGGCGGUUGGGGAUGGACUCGCGGCUUAUCAGCUUGUUGGUGGGGUAGUGGCUUACCAAGGCUUUGACGGGUAGCCGGCCUGAGAGGGUGAACGGCCACAUUGGGACUGAGAUACGGACCAGACGCCUACGGUAGGCAGCAGUGGGGAAUAUUGCACAAUGGGCGGAAGCCUGAUGCAGCAACGCCGCGUGCGUGAUGACGGCUUUCGGGUUGUAAACCGCUUUCGCCUGUGACGAAGCGUGAGUGACGGUAAUGGGUAAAGAAGCAACGGCUAACUACGUG
rnacentral:rRNA from 1 species